UACCAUGUUCGUUAUUAUACUAUAGCUCUGUAAACUGAUUGAAAUUUUGAUGCUUGGACAAGCGCCUACUAUGAGCUUUGCUAGUUUCCUCAAGUUUCUCCUGUUCUUUCAAUUAUUCGUUCAAAUAAGCCUGUCGACCGAUUCAGGCGAUUUAUCCGUUGCAAGACCGAGAUGGUACUAUCUUCGUUGUGUUCAAUGUUACCGUCCAGAUGCCAAAGGAGAAGCAUGUGUAAAGAUACCACAGUGCAUCAAAAGCCGCGAGUUUUUUGGAUACAUUAUGGGCUAAUAAAAGCUACAAAG
rnacentral:lncRNA from 1 species